AGUGAACGCUGGCGGUAGGCCUAACACAUGCAAGUCGAACGGCAGCACAGUAAGAGCUUGCUCUUACGGGUGGCGAGUGGCGGACGGGUGAGGAAUACAUCGGAAUCUACUUUUUCGUGGGGGAUAACGUAGGGAAACUUACGCUAAUACCGCAUACGACCUACGUGUGAAAGCAGGGGAUCUUCGGACCUUGCGCGAUUGAAUGAGCCGAUGUCGGAUUAGCUAGUUAGCGGGGUAAAGGCCCACCAAGGCGACGAUCCGUAGCUUGUCUGAGAGGAUGAUCAGCCACACUGGAACUGAGACACGGUCCAGACUCCUACGGGAGGCAGCAGUGGGGAAUAUUGGACAAUGGGCGCAAGCCUGAUCCAGCCAUACCGCGUGGGUGAAGAAGGCCUUCGGGUUGUAAAGCCCUUUUGUUGGGAAAGAAAAGCAGCAGGUUAAUACCCCGCUGUUCUGACGGUACCCAAAGAAUAAGCACCGGCUAACUUCGUG
rnacentral:rRNA from 1 species